rnacentral:rRNA from 1 species
UACGGAGGGUGCAAGCGUUAUCCGGAUUCACUGGGGUUUAAAGGGUGCGUAGGUGGGAAUGUAAGUCAGUGGUGAAAAUCUCCGUGCCUUAACAUGGAACUGCCAUUGAUACUAUGUUUCUUGAAUCUUCCGGAGGUCAGCGGAAUAUGUCAUGUAGCGGUGAAGUGCUUAGAUAUGACAUAGAACACCAAUUGCGAAGGCAGCUGACCUACAGGGGCAUUGACACUGAGGCACGAAAGCGUGGGGAUCAAACAGG